rnacentral:rRNA from 1 species
AAGGAUUCCCUUAGUAAUGGCGAAUGAACAGGGAUGAGCUCAGCAUUGAAAUCUGGGCCCUGGCCCUGAAUUGUAAUCUCGAGAAGUGCAACCAACAGCGGCGCAGGUGUAAGCCUCUUGGAAAAGAGCACCAGUGAGGGUGAGAGUCCCGUGUGUCACCUGCAGUCCUCUGUGUACGGUGUGCUUUCUAAGAGUCACGUUCCUCGGGCUUGGAGCGCCAAAGGUGGUAAAUUUCAUCUAAAGCUAAAUAUAGGUUUGAGACCGAUAGCAAACAAGUACCAUGAGGGAAAGAUGAAAAGGACUUUGGAAAGAGAGUUAAAAGUGCCUGAAAUCGCUGAAAGGGAAGCGAAUGGGACCAGUGUUUCUUGUGGAGCUUGCUGGGCGUAAUCUGGAUGGAGUUCUGGUGCAGCGCAAGCGUACCUGAGCUUUUUGAAAGUGCGUGCUUGGUGCUGCUCUGCUUGUGUGUCAACGUCGGUUUGGAGAUGUGGAAAACCCGGGGGAAAUGGAUGCCUUCUUAUGGGGGGGUGAAUGUUCCUCGUGGAAUUCAUUUCCAAACUGAAAUUCUUGUGUUAAUGUUCACCACCUCAUUCUUUGCUUGCAGCCCUGGGUAAUUCAGCAGGUGCUCUGCUGGCUGUGGGUGUGUUCAUGACACAUCAAUGCUGACAAAAUGGUCUCACUCGACCCGUCUUGAAACACGGACCAAGGAGUCUAACAUAUGUGCAAGUUCCUGGGUGGCUAAACCUGUUGGCGUAAUGAAAGUGACUGCUGGGAUUUCUGCACCAGCAACCGACUGACCAAUUGAGAGAGGUUUGAGUAUGAGCACAUCUGUUAGGACCCGAAAGAUGGUGAACUAUGCCUGAGAAGGGUGAAGUCAGGGGAAACUCUGAUGGAGGCUCAUAGCGAUACUGACGUGCAAAUCGUUCGUCAUACUUGGGUAUAGGGGCGAAAGACUAAUCGAACCAUCUAGUAGCUGGUUCCCUCCGAAGUUUCCCUCAGAUAGCUGGAGUUGA